rnacentral:rRNA from 1 species
UACGGGGGGGGCAAGUGUUCUUCGGAAUGACUGGGCGUAAGGGCACGUAGGCGGUGAAUCGGGUUGAAAGUGAAAGUCGCCAAAAAGUGGCGGAAUGCUCUCGAAACCAAUUCACUUGAGUGAGACAGAGGAGAGUGGAAUUUCGUGUGUAGGGGUGAAAUCCGUAGAUCUACGAAGGAACGCCAAAAGCGAAGGCAGCUCUCUGGGUCCCUACCGACGCUGGGGUGCGAAAGCAUGGGGAGCGAACAGG